AUACCAAAUUAACUGCGGCGUUCCCCUAAUCUCUCCUACUAUAUUUUGUGUGUGUGAAUCAAUGUUGACCCAGCGAGGACAUAUAUCAAACAGCUCACAUGCAACGGGGCUAGAAACCACGGUACCUAGUUCAUGUCACCAUGAACUGACAGGGUCUAAGCUCGCACGAGUAGAAGGCGGAGGAUGACGACGCAAGAGCCACCCCGCACCGCUGGUUGGAGUUGGAGCGCUGAAUGAGG
rnacentral:lncRNA from 1 species